rnacentral:rRNA from 1 species
GGAAUCUCGCGCAAUGGGCGAAAGCCUGACGCAGCAACGCCGCGUGCGGGAUGAAGGCCUUCGGGCUGUAAACCGCUUUCAGCAGGAACGAAAAUGACGGUACCUGCAGAAGAAGGAGCGGCCAACUACGUGCCAGCAGCCGCGGUGACACGUAGGCUCCAAGCGUUGUCCGGAUUUAUUGGGCGUAAAGAGCUCGUAGGCGGUUGAGUAAGUCGGGUGUGAAAACUCUGGGCUUAACCCGGAGACGCCAUCCGAUACUGCUCUGACUUGAGUUCAGGAGGGGAGUGGGGAAUUCCUAGUGUAGCGGUGAAAUGCGCAGAUAUUAGGAGGAACACCGGUGGCGAAGGCGCCACUCUGGACUGAAACUGACGCUGAGGAGCGAAAGCAUGGGUAGCAAACAGGAUUAGAUACCCUGGUAGUCCAUGCCGUAAACGGUGGGCACUAGGUGUGGGUUCCAACUAACGGGAUCCGCGCCGUCGCUAACGCAUUAAGUGCCCCGCCUGGGGAGUACGGUCGCAAGACUAAAACUCAAAGGAAUUGACGG